AAGCCUUACUUUCCUCUUCCUGUUCGUAGCUCUUGCAGUUGGUAUUGCGCAUCAGGAUUUAUUGCAAGUUUGAGCGAUUUUCUUUGUAAUGAUGCCCACCAUUUGUCCUCAUUGUGAAACUUGGCAGCCAGUCAUGCCAGAGUUAAAUGGUUUAUAUUUCAGGGCAUCCAUUCUUAAUACCUCACAGAAAGAAAUUAAAAAAUUGUGAGAUGCCAAGCUCCUUGUUUCCAGUUCAUGGGCAAGCUAAGAAAGUGGGCAUGGACAUUAGGAUAGACGGGUGUGGUCACAUAAGCUUCUUCAUCUCAGAUUACACACAGACGGCAACCUGACUGGGAUUUGAACCCAGUCAUAGCUGCUGGUGUAGUUCGCUUUUGGGCUGAUCCUUUAGUACAGUGUGAUAAAGUAGCAGUUGUAAAAAUAUAUAACAAAAAGAAAUGAAAAAACAAAAAUAAUAAUACAAAAA